GACGAAUGCUGGCGGCGUGCUUAACACAUGCAAGUCGAACGGAAAGGCCCUGCUUUUGUGGGGUUCUCGCGUGGCGAACGGGUGAGUAACCCGUGAGUAACCUGCCCUUGACUUUGUGAUAACUUCAGGAGACUGGGGCUAAUACCGGCUAGGAGCUCCUGCUGCAUGGGGGUGGUUGGAAAGUUUCGGCGGUUGGGGAUGGACUCGCGGCUUAUCAGCUGGUUGGUGGGGUAGUGGCUUACCAAGGCUUUGACGGGUAGCCGGCCUGAGAGGUUGACCGGCCACCUUGGGACUGAGAUACGGACCAGACUGCUACGGGAGACAGCAGGGGGGAAUCUGGCACAACGGGCGGAAGUCUGUGGAAGAAAUGCCGCGUGCGGGAUGACGGCCUUCGGGGUGUAAACCGCUUUAGCCUGUGACGAAGCGGGAGUGACGGUAAUGGGUAAAUAAGCACCGGCUAACUACGUG
rnacentral:rRNA from 1 species